AGUGAACGCUGGCGGUAGGCCUAACACAUGCAAGUCGAACGGCAGCACAGUAAGAGCUUGCUCUUACGGGUGGCGAGUGGCGGACGGGUGAGGAAUACAUCGGAAUCUACUUUUUCGUGGGGGAUAACGUAGGGAAACUUACGCUAAUACCGCAUACGACCUACGGGUGAAAGCAGGGGAUCUUCGGACCUUGCGCGAUUGAAUGAGCCGAUGUCGGAUUAGCUAGUUGGCGGGGUAAAGGCCCACCAAGGCGACGAUCCGUAGCUGGUCUGAGAGGAUGAUCAGCCACACUGGAACUGAGACACGGUCAAGACUCCUACGGGGGGCAGCAGUGGGGAAUAUUGGACAAUGGGCGCAAGCCUGAUCCAGCCAUACCGCGUGGGUGAAGAAGGCCUUCGGGUUGUAAAGCCCUUUUGUUGGGAAAGAAAAGCAGCAGGUUAAUACCCCGCUGUUCUGACGGUACCCAAAGAAUAAGCACCGGCUAACUUCGUG
rnacentral:rRNA from 1 species